UGAAGAAUUGAUUCCUGCCUCAUUCCCAAGGUCAAGCAAGACAACAGGCUUGACCACAUGCCUGGCCUCUGGCAGCUCCAAUCUGGGCCAGGCCAAGGACACCAUCUCUGGUCCCCAAGGGACAAUAGCCCCUCAACCCAGCCAGAGCAUUCCACUGUGGGCCUAGUCAAGGACAUCACCCAAGGACCAUAACC